UUUAACCCCUCCUCCGAAUUAUCCCUUUCCACAAUCUUUCCAAUUUCUUUACUAUGUCACUGAGUUACAGACUCGCUUCUCUCAAUCCAUCUCCCUCACUCUCGCUCUUUCACUCCAAUCUCUCUCCUUCUCCCUAAAAUAUACAUUAAUAAAUUGAAAUUUCUCGUCCUUAAAAAAAUCAAAUUAUUCAAUCAAUCUUUGUGUCUAAUUUGCAGUAGUAAUUAUCCUGCUUAAAUUCACAGCCGGAGUUUCUGCGCAGUCGGAGUUGCAGUACUCAGUCCGGUGAACAGUAGCCGGAGAUCGCUUUCAGAUCUAUGAACUGCAGUGUUGAAUGAAAGAAAGUGGCUGGGCGGUGCUCAGAUGAGAAGAACUGAUGUUAUUUGCAGUAGAAGGAGGAGGCUUUUUCUCUUCUUCAGCUUCAGGGUAUAGUAAGGGCUUGACCCUUCUUUUAUUGGGUCAUAAAAACGAAGAGAAACCCAUGAGAGUGACACCGUGGAAUCAGUACCAGUUGGUGGACCAAGACACCGAUCCUAAUUUCCAACUGGCUUCUGGUAAGAACCGGCCUGUCCGUGGGUGCGCCUCCUUCGGUUGUUUUGGUUGCGCUGCCCCUGCUAUCGAGAGUCCGUCUCCUCUGAAAGUGGGACCCACACAGAACAAAGAUGUCUUGCCCGAAUCUCCAAUCUUCGACGAGAGUAAAGAUGCAAAAAUUUCAGCUGGUUGUGUUGUUGUUGUUGAUGGUGGUGAUGAUGAUGGUAAGAGGAAUAUAGUUAGCCUCAAGAGUAGCUUGAAGAAAGCAUCAAAUAGCGCUCCAAUAGCUUCAACUGGUAGUGCUGGUGGUGGUGGAAAGAACGAUGAACGUGAAACAGUAUGUGAAAAUAAUGCCGCUGCUGAUGCUUAUGAAACGGAGAGGAGGAAAGUGCAGUGGACAGAUACAAUGGGAGGAGAGCUUUUUGAGAUUCGGGAAUUUGAAAUGAGUGAAGAUGGAUCGGACGAUGAAUUUGGCCAUGGGAAUGAACAAUCUUGUUCAUGCCGGAUAAUGUAGUAUGAAGUUUUUCCAACUUUUUACGAGGCAACCUAUAUGAGGUGUAUAGCUUGAAAUGCAAACAUCGAAGCGCCACCUCAUCAUCUCUCAUGGUGAAACAAGAUACCCACACCCGCCUCGGCUGAUGAUUUUGAUAUGUGUCUAUUCUUUCUUGCAUAUUCCAAUUUUGUUUGCUUUUGGGCUUAAAUCUUUUCACUAGUUGAUGAUAUUCAUGUUUUGGCAAUGGGCUCUUCCCUCUUUUGUUCCUAGUUUGUUUAUUUCAAUUUGGUGAAAAUUCUUAUAUUGUAUUCUGUAGUUUUUGUCAAUAUGGAGUAGAAUUAUUCGAAAACCCGUGCACGUUAUUUGGGGCUCAAAAAAUGGGAAUUCGACCGGUUGAAUUCCCAUUUUAUUAUAUAUUAAAUAUUUUUUUUUUCUUUUCUUGUAGCAGUUUAUGCAAUUGACAUUUAACUACUUGGCUACAUCUUAUCCACAAUGCAUAUGUCCCCACUUCCCAAACUAUCACUGAUUCACAAUCUUCCUUCUCUCUCUCUCUCUCCCUCUCUAGCCAACAUCCAAAUUGUAGCCGUACAGAAUUACAGAAUAUCCAUACGAAAAACAAUAGAACAGAAACUCACAGAAAAAGAAAUGUCAAUUGCAUCAUCUCCUUCAUUCCCACGUAUCAGAUUCUCUAACCCUUCGUCUUCGUGUUCUUCGUCCAAUACCGUAAGAUUUAGCAUAAGAUGCUCUCAAGCUGAGGGUCCGCUUAGAAGACCGGUGGCCCCUGCACCGGUAAAGCCUGUGCUGCCAUCGGCUUCUCCUCCUCUGCCGCCGUCGCCUCCCAAGCCUGUGGCGGUGGCGGCUAAUGCGGCGGAAUAUAAGAGUUCGGUUACCAUGGAGUUCCAGAGGCAGAAAGCCAAAGAGCUUCAAGAAUAUUUCAAGAAGAAGAAGCUCGAGGAAGCUAAUCAAGGCCCCUUCUUUGGCUUCAUUGGCAAGAAUGAAAUUUCCAAUGGCAGGUGGGCAAUGUUUGGUUUUGCUGUGGGAAUGUUGACAGAGUAUGCAACGGGAUCAGAUUUUGUGGAUCAAGUUAAAAUCCUUCUCUCAAACUUCGGUAUUCUGGAUCUUGAAUAAAUGAAUCAAUCAAUACCUUCUCUUUUCUUCAUACCUUUCCCACCUUGUGUAAAACCUUGUUUUUUUUUUUUUGCAAACUACGGUCACCCUCUGUGGUACGAUAAAGUUACGAAAAAACUCGUCAUGUUUGGGUAAUUACAAUCAGUCCCAUCAAAUUUACACGUUCACUCUUACAGUGUCAAUUUUACUUAUUGAAUGAUGGUUUUUUCAUAAGACAGUACAUAGUUGAUGGGGAGUUUAUUCGUAAUUUGAUCUUAUCUCAGGGAGGUGGUCGUAAUUUGCCCUAUUUUGUUGUGUGUAAUUUUUAUUCAAUUUCUCUUUCUUGAACAAUUUCUCUAAUCUCUCAUACUUUAUUAAAAAAAAUACCAGUAUUUUAUUUAUUA